rnacentral:lncRNA from 1 species
UUCCAACAAAAAGGGUCACCAUCUUCAGAAACCCUAAUUCUUUCAACGAGUUGGAAAGAACAAUUUGUAGUUCUGGCUUUUGGCACUCAUAUUCAUUUUCUGUAUGUAGCAGUAGUAAGUGCAUUAAUUUUGGUUGGUCUGUUUGGGUACAAGAGAAGAGUCACUAUCCAGUUGUUCCUCAUCUCUCUUUCCCAUUAGGUGGAUUGAAUGUGACUUUGGCUAUGAGGAACUCAUGUCUUUACC